GGGUUGUGAGGUUAAGCGACUAAGCGUACACGGUGGAUGCCCUGGCAGUCAGAGGCGAUGAAGGACGUGCUAAUCUGCGAAAAGCGUCGGUAAGGUGAUAUGAACCGUUACAGCCGGCGAUGUCCGAAUGGGGAAACCCAGUGUGAUUCGUCACACUAUCGUUAACUGAAUACAUAGGUUAACGAGGCGAACCGGGGGAACUGAAACAUCUAAGUACCCCGAGGAAAAGAAAUCAACCGAGAUUCCCCCAGUAGCGGCGAGCGAACGGGGAGCAGCCCAGAGUCUGAAUCAGCUUGUGUGUUAGUGGAACGGUCUGGAAAGUCCGACGGUACAGGGUGAUAGUCCCGUACACCAAAAUGCACAGGCUGUGAACUCGAAGAGUAGGGCGGGACACGUGGUAUCCUGUCUGAAUAUGGGGGGACCAUCCUCCAAGGCUAAAUACUCCUGACUGACCGAUAGUGAACCAGUACCGUGAGGGAAAGGCGAAAAGAACCCCGGCGAGGGGAGUGAAAAAGAACCUGAAACCGUGUACGUACAAGCAGUGGGAGCACCUUCGGGUGUGACUGCGUACCUUUUGUAUAAUGGGUCAGCGACUUAUAUUCUGUAGCAAGGUUAACCGUAUAGGGGAGCCGCAGGGAAACCGAGUCUUAACUGGGCGUUAAGUUGCAGGGUAUAGACCCGAAACCCGGUGAUCUAGCCAUGGGCAGGUUGAAGGUUGGGUAACACUAACUGGAGGACCGAACCGACUAAUGUUGAAAAAUUAGCGGAUGACUUGUGGCUGGGGGUGAAAGGCCAAUCAAACCGGGAGAUAGCUGGUUCUCCCCGAAAGCUAUUUAGGUAGCGCCUCGUGAACUCAUCUUCGGGGGUAGAGCACUGUUUCGGCUAGGGGGUCAUCCCGACUUACCAACCCGAUGCAAACUACGAAUACCGAAGAAUGUUAUCACGGGAGACACACGGCGGGUGCUAACGUCCGUCGUGAAGAGGGAAACAACCCAGACCGCCAGCUAAGGUCCCAAAGUCACAGUUAAGUGGGAAACGAUGUGGGAAGGCACAGACAGCCAGGAUGUUGGCUUAGAAGCAGCCAUCAUUUAAAGAAAGCGUAAUAGCUCACUGGUCGAGUCGGCCUGCGCGGAAGAUGUAACGGGGCUAAACUGUGCACCGAAGCUGCGGCAGCGACACUAUGUGUUGUUGGGUAGGGGAGCGUUCUGUAAGCCUGCGAAGGUGGCCUGUGAGGGUUGCUGGAGGUAUCAGAAGUGCGAAUGCUGACAUAAGUAACGAUAAUGCGGGUGAAAAGCCCGCACGCCGGAAGACCAAGGGUUCCUGUCCAACGUUAAUCGGGGCAGGGUGAGUCGACCCCUAAGGCGAGGCCGAAAGGCGUAGUCGAUGGGAAACAGGUUAAUAUUCCUGUACUUGGUGUUACUGCGAAGGGGGGACGGAGAAGGCUAUGUUAGCCGGGCGACGGUUGUCCCGGUUUAAGCAUGUAGGCGGAGGUUCCAGGUAAAUCCGGUACCUUUUUAACGCUGAGGUGUGAUGACGAGGCACUACGGUGCUGAAGUAACAAAUGCCCUGCUUCCAGGAAAAGCCUCUAAGCAUCAGGUAACAUUAAAUCGUACCCCAAACCGACACAGGUGGUCAGGUAGAGAAUACCAAGGCGCUUGAGAGAACUCGGGUGAAGGAACUAGGCAAAAUGGUGCCGUAACUUCGGGAGAAGGCACGCUGAUAUGUAGGUGAAGCCCCUGCGGGUGGAGCUGAAAUCAGUCGAAGAUACCAGCUGGCUGCAACUGUUUAUUAAAAACACAGCACUGUGCAAACACGAAAGUGGACGUAUACGGUGUGACGCCUGCCCGGUGCCGGAAGGUUAAUUGAUGGGGUUAUCCGUAAGGAGAAGCUCUUGAUCGAAGCCCCGGUAAACGGCGGCCGUAACUAUAACGGUCCUAAGGUAGCGAAAUUCCUUGUCGGGUAAGUUCCGACCUGCACGAAUGGCGUAAUGAUGGCCAGGCUGUCUCCACCCGAGACUCAGUGAAAUUGAACUCGCUGUGAAGAUGCAGUGUACCCGCGGCAAGACGGAAAGACCCCGUGAACCUUUACUAUAGCUUGACACUGAACAUUGAGCCUUGAUGUGUAGGAUAGGUGGGAGGCUUUGAAGCGUGGACGCCAGUCUGCGUGGAGCCAACCUUGAAAUACCACCCUUUAAUGUUUGAUGUUCUAACGUUGGCCCCUGAUCGGGGUUGCGGACAGUGUCUGGUGGGUAGUUUGACUGGGGCGGUCUCCUCCCAAAGAGUAACGGAGGAGCACGAAGGUUAGCUAAUCCUGGUCGGACAUCAGGAGGUUAGUGCAAUGGCAUAAGCUAGCUUGACUGCGAGCGUGACGGCGCGAGCAGGUGCGAAAGCAGGUCAUAGUGAUCCGGUGGUUCUGAAUGGAAGGGCCAUCGCUCAACGGAUAAAAGGUACUCCGGGGAUAACAGGCUGAUACCGCCCAAGAGUUCAUAUCGACGGCGGUGUUUGGCACCUCGAUGUCGGCUCAUCACAUCCUGGGGCUGAAGUAGGUCCCAAGGGUAUGGCUGUUCGCCAUUUAAAGUGGUACGCGAGCUGGGUUUAGAACGUCGUGAGACAGUUCGGUCCCUAUCUGCCGUGGGCGCUGGAGAAUUGAGGGGGGCUGCUCCUAGUACGAGAGGACCGGAGUGGACGCAUCACUGGUGUUCGGGUUGUCAUGCCAAUGGCAUUGCCCGGUAGCUAAAUGCGGAAGAGAUAAGUGCUGAAAGCAUCUAAGCACGAAACUUGCCCCGAGAUGAGUUCUCCCUGACUCCUUGAGAGUCCUGAAGGAACGUUAAAGACGAUGACGUUGAUAGGUCGGGUGUGUAAGCGUAGCGAUACGUUGAGCUAACCGAUACUAAUGAACCGUGAGGCUUAACCUUACAACGCCGAAGCUGUU
rnacentral:rRNA from 1 species